rnacentral:rRNA from 1 species
AUAAUAAUUAGUCUUUUAAAUGAAGGCUGGAAUGAAUGAUUGGACGAGGUARAUUCUGUCUCAUUAAAAUUAAGAUUUAAAUUUAAUUUUUAAGUUAAAAAGCUUAAAUAUUAUUAAAGGACGAGAAGACCCUAUAGAGCUUUAUAAUAUAAUUAUUAAUAAUUUUUAAUUUUAUUUUAUUAAUUUAAUAUUAUUUUAUUGGGGCGAUAGGAAAAUUUAUUUAACUUUUUUAAUUUUAUUACAUUUAUUUAUGAAUUUUUGAUCCUAAAUUUUAGAUUAWUAGAUUAAGUUACCUUAGGGAUAACAGCGUUAUUUUUUUUUAGAGUUCAUAUUAAUAAAAAAGAUUGC